GGCACCAUGGCUCAGCUGGUUAAAGCACCUGUCUAGUAAACAGGAGAUCCUGGGUUCAACUCCCAGUGGUGCCU
rfam:Merops nubicus contig100294, whole genome shotgun sequence.